rnacentral:rRNA from 1 species
CCCUUAGAUGUCCUGGGCCGCACGCGCGUUACACUGAUGCAUUCAACGAGCCUAUAACCUUGGCCGAGAGGCCUGGGCAAUCUUGUUAACGUGCAUCGUGAUAGGGAUAGAUUAUUGAAAUUAUUAAUCUUGAACGAGGAAUUCCUAGUAAACGCAGAUCAUCAAUCUGCAUUGAUUACGUCCCUGCCCUUUGUACACACCGCCCGUCGCUACUACCGAUUGAACGGUUUAGUGAGGGCCUCGGAUUGGUCUCGGCCCGCUCUUUACCGGGCGGCGCCGUUGGUCGAGAAGACGCUCGAACUUGAUCGUUUAGAGGAAGUAAAAGUCGUAACA